AUACUUAUCAGGCAGGGGAGAUACCAUAAUCAUGAAGAUGGUUUUCUCAAGGUGAAGCUCACCCAUUACACUCCGGAUGUGCUGACCCCUACGAUUUCCCCAAAUGUGAGAAAUUCGACUGCACAAUUUGUGGUAGUGGGGGACUGUGUCCAUGCUCUCUCCCC